rnacentral:rRNA from 1 species
UACGAAGGGGGCUAGCGUUGCUCGGAAUCACUGGGCGUAAAGGGUGCGUAGGCGGGUUUUUAAGUCAGAGGUGAAAUCCUGGAGCUCAACUCCAGAACUGCCUUUGAGACUGAGUGGCUUGAGUACGAGAGAGGUGAGUGGAAUUCCCAGUGUAGAGGUGAAAUUCGUAGAUAUUGGGAAGAACACCGGUGGCGAAGGCGGCUCACUGGCUCGUAACUGACGCUCAUGCACGACAGCGUGGGGAUCAAACAGG